CAGUCGCCGCGGUAAAACGGAGGGUGCAAGCGUUGUCCGGAUUUAUUGGGUUUAAAGGGUGCGUAGGCGGCUAUUUAAGUCAGCGGUGAAAGACUCCGGCUCAACCGGAGCAGUGCCAUUGAUACUGGAUAGCUUGAGUGUUGGAGGGGUACAUGGAAUUGAUGGUGUAGCGGUGAAAUGCAUAGAUACCAUCAGGAACACCGAUAGCGAAGGCAUUGUACUGGCCAACAACUGACGCUGAGGCACGAAAGCAUGGGGAGCGAACAGGAUUAGAUACCCCCGUAGUCCCUGUCUCUUAUAC
rnacentral:rRNA from 1 species